rnacentral:lncRNA from 1 species
GAACUCAGCUGGGCUCACGCUGCUGCUGCCAGAGUGACAGCUGCUGCUUCACUAAGAACAUCUGAGACUGCCAGAGGGGGUGAGAGGGAAGAUCGGGGCAAGAGUCCAGCCCUGCACAGAUCCAUUGCUACCACUGAACUUGUGGGGCUCCCAGAACAGUUGCUGCCUUCUGUUGUGUUAGAAUUUUACCCGAUGCAAGCCAUAUCCUUCUGCCUGGGCCAAGACAAACUCCUCAGCUGUUAGGUGGUGAAGUUAAGUUAUUGUCCUUGGUAAGUAUGUGUUGCUUUCCAGAGGAAAAUUUUAAUUUGUUCCUGUUGGUAUCCUGGUACAAAGUUAGAGUUUUUAG